CCUACGGGGGGCAGCAGUAGGGAAUCUUCCACAAUGGACGAAAGUCUGAUGGAGCAACGCCGCGUGAGUGAUGAAGGUUUUCGGAUCGUAAAACUCUGUUGUAAGGGAAGAACACGUACGAGAGGAAAUGCUCGUACCUUGACGGUACCUUACGAGAAAGCCACGGCUAACUACGUGCCAGCAGCCGCGGUAAUACGUAGGUGGCAAGCGUUGUCCGGAAUUAUUGGGCGUAAAGCGCGCGCAGGCGGCCUUUUAAGUCUGAUGUGAAAGCCCCCGGCUCAACCGGGGAGGGCCAUUGGAAACUGGAAGGCUUGAGUACAGAAGAGAAGAGUGGAAUUCCACGUGUAGCGGUGAAAUGCGUAGAGAUGUGGAGGAACACCAGUGGCGAAGGCGACUCUUUGGUCUGUAACUGACGCUGAGGCGCGAAAGCGUGGGGAGCAAACAGGAUUAGAUACCCGAGUAGUC
rnacentral:rRNA from 1 species